GCUCCUGAGGGCUGGGACUUGCUUGGUUCACAGCUGAACCUCCAUGUCUGGAUCAGCGUAGGGCUCAGUAAAUGCUUGAUGAAUGAAUUAAGUCUCCACCAAAUGACUUUACUUCCUCAGCAGGAUCCUCGGGCUGCACAUCAGAGGUGGACUCAGAGCCCGUGCAGAAGCAGGAGACCAGAGAGGAGGUGACUGCAAUAGUCCAGGACAGGAAGAGCACAGGACCAAGAAUAUCAGAGAUACUCUGGGAGACACUGAACCUUCUGGACAUAUGGGG